AGCGAACGCUGGCGGCAGGCCUAACACAUGCAAGUCGAACGAACUCUUCGGAGUUAGUGGCGGACGGGUGAGUAACACGUGGGAACGUGCCUUUUGGCUCGGAAUAACUCAGGGAAACUUGUGCUAAUACCGAAUGUGCUCUUCGGAGGAAAGAUUUAUCGCCAUUAGAGCGGCCCGCGUCUGAUUAGCUAGUUGGUGAGGUAACGGCGCACCAAGGCGACGAUCAGUAGCUGGUCUGAGAGGAUGACCAGCCACACUGGGACUGAGACACGGCCCAGACUCCUACAGGAAGCAGCAGUGGGGAAUCUUGCGCAAUGGGCGAAAGCCUGACGCAGCCAUGCCGCGUGAAUGAUGAAGGUCUUAGGAUUGUAAAAUUCUUUCACCGGGGACUGUAAUGACGGUACCCAAAGAAGAAGCCCCGGCUAACUUCGUG
rnacentral:rRNA from 1 species